rnacentral:rRNA from 1 species
ACUCCUACGGGAGGCAGCAGUGGGGAAUAUUGCACAAUGGGGGAAACCCUGAUGCAGCCAUGCCGCGUGUGUGAAGAAGGCCUUCGGGUUGUAAAGCACUUUCAGUAGGGAGGAAGGUAGUGUAGUUAACACCUGCACUAUUUGACGUUACCUACAGAAGAAGCACCGGCUAACUCCGUGCCAGCAGCCGCGGUAAUACGGAGGGGGUUAGCGUUGUUCGGAAUUACUGGGCGUAAAGCGCGCGUAGGCGGACUGGAAAGUUGGGGUGAAAUCCCAGGGCUCAACCCUGGAACUGCCUCCAAAACUAUCAGUCUAGAGUUCGAGAGAGGUGAGUGGAAUUCCGAGUGUAGAGGUGAAAUUCGUAGAUAUUCGGAGGAACACCAGUGGCGAAGGCGGCUCACUGGCUCGAUACUGACGCUGAGGUGCGAAAGUGUGGGAGCAAACAGGAUUAGAUACCCUGGUAGGCUCUG